CAUACGCGCAAUCGUUUGAAUUAUUUAUAUUAAUACUAUAUUAAUAAUUUGGUAUGUUUGACUGUAUAUAUUAUAAAUGUAUUGUAUUUAUUUUUAGAGAAUCGUCAGCAAAUAAAAAUAAUGACGCAUAUCUCGUGCCUUCGUAUUGAAAUGGCCAACUCUUAACAACUUACAUGUACUUGUUUACAGAUUUCGGCUUGUUUUGAAGUAUGAUGAGAAAGAAAGAAAUCACGGGGGCGUUAGCAAGUUAAGUGUCGUCUCAUAUAAGCCUGUGCUGCCCGCACAGACAAAUCAAGGAUGGCGCUUUCUGCCUCAACUGGAUUUUCGUUUAGAAGAUAUCGCCUUCAAAAGAAAAUUUAAUAGGAGCGUUAAGUGUCGUCCAUGAUAAGCCUGUGCGGACGGCACAUGCUAAUCUGGGAUGACACUUAACCCACAUACUUAAAGACCAUUUUUCCCAGAGCGCGGCUAUGUUUUACAAACUUGAGCCCAUCGCUUACCAGCACGUAUACCAUGCAGAUGAGGAAGACCAACACCGCCCCACCGCACAAACUUGAGCCUAUCGCUUACCAGCACGUAUACCAUGCAGAUUAGGAAGACCAACACCGCCCCCACCGCACGCUAUGAGAGCCUAACGCUUACCAGCACGUAUACCAUGCAGAUGAGGAAGACCAACACCGCCCCACCGCACAAACUUGAGCCUAUCGCUUACCAGCACGUAAACCAUGCAGAUGAGGACGACCAACACCGCCCACCGCACAAACUUGAGUCUAUCGCUUACCAGCACUUAAACCAUGCAGAUGAGGAAGACCAACACCGCCCCACCGCACGCUAUUAGAUCCUAACGCUUACCAGCACGUAUACCAUGCAGAUGAGGAAGACCAACACCGCCCCACCGCACGCUAUGACGGCGAUGGCCCAGUUGGGGAGUUUCUUGUCGUCGGCGAUUAUCUUGUCAGUGAUGGACGCCGUCGUCGUUGUCACCGGUUCUGGGGUCGUCGGCUCCGUUGUGGGUGGAACGACUGCGGAACAAACCAAUGAUAUAUCUUUAACCGUUACAUAAAAAACGCUAUACACAUCACAUAUACUCUAAACUAUGAACAAAUGUAAAAUGAGUUGUGGACUAGGACUCCAGGUUGUCCCUACUUACUUUCUUUGAACGCAAUGGAGCAAAAAUAAAUGCAUGUAAGUUUAAACUUAAAAAGAAAUGGUUGUUAGAUAAAAUAUUUUCUCAACAAGGGCAAAUACCAUCAUGCGUGAUACUGUUCGGGUCAAUAGUGAAGUUCCCAAAGCUAUUGGAGGAAGCAUUGACAACGGACGUGACGAAACUGCCGUUGAUUGCCUCCGUGGCGUUGAGAACCAAGGUGUAGUUCACAACCACGCUCCCUUUACUGAAAACAUACAACGACAGGUAUUCCAAAAAAUCAUUUAAGAAAAUAUUGAAAUACAUGUACAUUAAAUUCCUUAUGUCUCUGGUAAAUUCUGGUAAAGUUCGAUAAUCAAAACUAUUAAAGGGGCAGUCAACCAGAUUGACAAAAAAAAAAAAAAAAGUUCUAAAAUACCGACAUUAAAUGCUUUAUAUUGAUAAAUUUAAACAUUGGAUCUAAAAAUCUCCAGAAAAAAAUCAAGAAUUAAAAGAAAAAAGAAAAAAAGUAACCGAACCACUGACCCUUGGAGUCCUGGAGUAAAAAGUCUCCCGUGUAGACCACUCGGCAAUCAAUGCUCAUACAAUGAACGUUGUAUUUUAUUCUUUAUAUAAGCAAUCCGCGCAGUUUCACAAAAUAUAACGAUAACAACAAAACUUUCCAAAUUACCUGGUAGACAUACUCAGUAAAAUUGUAUUACCGAAUAUACUGAAAAUAUGAAAACUGAACAACAAUUUUCAAGAAAUGUCAUAUACCAGUCGUGAUAUUUUAAUCAAUAUAAAUUAAUAAUUGUAAAAAAAAUACGGUAUUUUAUAACUUGUCUUUUUUUCGUGUAAAAAAACAAUCUAGUUGACCCGUUUAACCCAUUUAAGCCUAGUGGACUCUUCCAUCCUUCUAAAUUGGAUCAAUUUAUUUCCAAAAUUAGGGAUGUCUAGUAUAUUUAUUUCUAUAUUUAGAAUAUUUCUUACGUAAAUUCUUUUAAGCAAACAGCGAAUACCCUUAUGAGACGCCGCAUCAUGCGGCGUCUCAUCUGGGUUUACGCUGUUUGCAAAGGCCUUUUUUCUAAACGCUAGGCAUAAAUGGGUUAAAGUACGGCGUUCUUCAGUGAACAUUUCAAAUAACAUAAUUAUAAUACCAGAAAACAUAUGUUUUCUGAUUUCCUUAAAUCAUAACAUUCUUAAUGUCUCUGGCUAUGAGCUGUUAAGAUAUUUUAAUUAAGAUGUUUAAAAUAAAUAAAUAUCGCCUAAAUUUUCAUUAUUGUAGCACCUUGAGAGCAUGAAAUAUAUGGUUUAUCAUUUAAAACAUUCGAUCGCAAACACCAUUGAUUUUGCUUGUUUGUUUUCACGUGAAAUGAGCUAUACUUUUGUUUUUAUUUUUUGUGUGACACAUCUGACUACCAAAGUAUCAUCAUAUUGGACUCAUCUUUCGAACAUUAGUCUGUUAAAACACAUCUGAAUGGAUCUUUAAAUGAGCCGCGUUCUGAGAAAACUGGGCAUAAUGUAUGUGCGUAAAGUGUCGACCCAGAUUAGCCUGUGGAGUUCGCACAGGCUAAUCAGGGACGACAAUUUCAGCCUAAAUUGGAUUUUUGCUUAGAAGAUACUUCAUUUAAACGAAAAAGGUCAUAAAAGCGGAAAGUGUCGUCCGUGAUUAGCCUAUGCGGAUAACACAGGCUAAUCUGGGAAGACACUCACUUUACGCACAUGCAUAAUGCCCAGUUUUCUCAGAACACGGCUCAAAUAUUACCUGAACGUAAAGUCCUUUAUCUCCUUCCAUUUUCCGUUAAGGGGUGAAUUCGCAAACACUUUCGUCAGCUAUAAAACAAUAGACAUUUUUGUAAGAACGCGCAACUGUAUGCAAACUUAGGCGCCAGGUCAUGGGCAGGGAGUUUUAAGUUUGAACUAAUACGUGCGAUGUUUUUAUUUUCCAUCGAGAAAAAAGGUUGCAAAAACGUGUAUUCACCCAUAUAAAAUUAAUCAAAUAAAAUUGUUUAUAUACCUUUCACAGCAAUAUAUACAUGUACAUGUACUUUAAUAUACACUAUGAAGCAACUAAUAUAAUAAUUACUUGUUUUCUUAAGUGUAUGCCACAAUUUUGAAAAUACCCUUCGGAAAUACAUUGCAACAUUAUUUAACAAAUUCGCACUGUAAUUUGGGAAAUCAUACCUGUUGUUCUAUUGCAUUCCGUAACGUUUUAUAUUCGAUGUGUUCUGUAUCCUCCAGUUCAGAUGUAUACGUCGCGCCAUCCGUUAUACGCAAACUACCAGCCAUUUCAAUAACAGCCGGCCUCGGUGUUGUGACGAUGCUGCUUGAUGUCGUAAUUAUCACUGAUGACGUCAUAAGAGGUGACACCUGCGUUGACGUCGCCGUUUGGUGAAAACUUGUUUGCGUUGGUUCAACAACUGAAGAGAUCGAUAAUGAUUCUACCGAACUGGAUGACGUUGGUUCGACAGAUGAAGUCAUUGUGGAAGACAUGGUAGGCAAAACGCUGAGUGUGGAACUUUCUGUUGGCAAGGAGCUUGAAGUGUGUGGCGUAACGCUUGUUGAUUGUUGUUCUUCAGAAGAAGUUGAAGAUUGAAAUAUUGAUGUUAUUGUGUGAUAACUUUGAGACGUUAUUGUUGACGUUGUAAAUGGCAUUACGGGCGACCUUAUGGAGGAAAUUGAGAGUGUUAAAUCCGGGAAUGUAGUAAACGAUGACAUCACUGAAGAAGACGAGGACACACUUGGAUCUAUAUAUGUCGUAGUAGCAGAUAGGCUCACCAUCUCUGAUGACGAAGAGCUCAAACCUGCUGCUGGAGUGGGAAUAACAAGUGAAGUAAACAAUAUUGAUGAAGAUGAAGUCAUAGGCAAAACUUGUGAUGAAGGCGUCGUGUCAGAAGAUUGCAUAACAGUGCUUGUCAAAACGGUGCUUGUAGAAGACGAAGGAGGAAGAGACGUUACCAUGGGUAUGCUUAAAGACGAAGAAAGAUCUACCUGUGAUGAAGAAGAGGUGCUGGAAGAUGUUAAUAAGUCUGACGUUGUUACUGAAGACGACAGUGGUAUUGUCGAUGCUGAAGAAAACACAAUAGUUGACGACAUAGAUUGAGAAAAAGAUGGUGUUAUAAUGCUACCUGACGAUGUUGCAAUAACAGCAGAAGUUUGCUCACUUGACGUUGUAGAAGGUUCGAUUGAUGAGGGCGAAGACAUGACUCCCGAUGUUGUUAAUGCGAAAUCCGAUGAGGUCAUACUGGAUAAUCGAGUUAAUAAGUCUGACGACGAUGCAGGAGUGCUGGAGACUUGAGAAGACAUGCUUUGUAAAUCCAUUAUAGAAGAUGACGACGUGCUUGAAGACAGCGUAUAUAAAUCUGACAUAGAUGUAUCCAAAUAUUACAUAUCAAUAAGUGAUGAAGACAAUGCCGUUGUUGAUGACGGCAUGGUUGACACAGACGUAGGUAUACCUGUAUAGGAAGGUAUUGUUGAGUAUGAUGAAUCUAAUGUUGACGAUUAACCAAUCGCUGAAGACGACGAAGACAUUGUUAUCGAUGACGUAGAAAUUGGUAAAGGUGACAUAAGAAUUAAUAAUGACGACGUAGAUAUUAGUGACGAUGAUGUAGGCAUUAUCGGCGAAGACGUAUCCAUGAGUGAAGACGAAAUAGGCAUUACCGACGAUGAAAUAGACAAUGGGGCCGAUGACGUUGACAUUAUUAACGAUGACGUAAACAUUGGUGACGACGAAGUAGGCAGAAGUAAUGUGACCGUAGAAUCUGAGGACGAUGAUAUAGAUAUAAUUGAUGACGAUGUAGGCAUCAUUGAUGAUGACGUAUCAAUAAUGAGGCAUUUUGUAUUCAAUUCACAGAACUCUAUAAAUCUUUACAUAAAUAAAAGUAUUUUGCAAACAA